rnacentral:rRNA from 1 species
UACGUAGGGGGCAAGCGUUGUCCGGAUUUAUUGGGCGUAAAGAGCGUGUAGGCGGCCUGGAAGGUCAGCUGUGAAAACUCGAGGCUCAACCUCGAGACGUCGGUUGAAACCACCUGGCUAGAGUCCGGAAGAGGAGUGUGGAAUUCCCGGUGUAGCGGUGGAAUGCGUAGAUAUCGAGAGGAACACCUGCGGCGAAGGCGGGUUGCUGGGCUGACACUGACGCUGACAGCGCGAAAGCUAGGGGAGCGAACGGG